rnacentral:rRNA from 1 species
UCGGUCAUCGAUGGGGAUGCGUUCCAUUAGGUCGUUGGCGGGGUAACGGCCCACCAAGCCUUCGAUGGAUAGGGGUUCUGAGAGGAAGGUCCCCCACAUUGGAACUGAGACACGGUCCAAACUCCUACGGGAGGCAGCAGUGAGGAAUAUUGGUCAAUGGACGAGAGUCUGAACCAGCCAAGUAGCGUGAAGGAUGACUGCCCUAUGGGUUGUAAACUUCUUUUAUACGGGAAUAAAGUGAGGCACGUGUGCCUUUUUGUAUGUACCGUAUGAAUAAGGAUCGGCUAACUCCGUGCCAGCAGCCGCGGUAAUACGGAGGAUCCGAGCGUUAUCCGGAUUUAUUGGGUUUAAAGGGAGCGUAGGCGGACGCUUAAGUCAGUUGUGAAAGUUUGCGGCUCAACCGUAAAAUUGCAGUUGACACUGGGUGUCUUGAGUACAGUAGAGGCAGGCGGAAUUCGUGGUGUAGCGGUGAAAUGCUUAGAUAUCACGAAGAACUCCGAUUGCGAAGGCAGCUUGCUGGACUGUAACUGACGCUGAUGCUCGAAAGUGUGGGUAUCAAACAGGAUUAGAUACCCUGGUAGUCCACACAGUAAACGAAGAAGACUCGCUGUUUGCGAUAUACAGUAAGCGGCCAAG